GGAGGCGGACGCGAGUAGCUCGGCAGGGGGACUCGCUUGGCUUUCGUGCCAUCCGUGGACACAGUCGCGCGGGUCUUUGUGGGAAGAAACAAAUCACAAAAGCAAUUAAGAGAGCUCAAACAAUGGGGUUUAUGCCAGUUACAUACAAGGAUCCUGCAUAUUUCAGGGACCCUAAAGUUUAUAACAUCAGAUAUCCGGAAUAAAUUCCAUCACAUUACCACCAGUAAACUUAUUUUAUAAGAUGGGUCUCACUGUGUUGCCCAGGCUGGUCUCUAACUCCUGGCCUCAAUCAUUCCUGCCUUGUCUUCCCUAAGUGCUGGGAUUACAGCUGUGAGCCACUGUGCCUGGCCUCACUUUUCCAAUUCUAAAGAAUGUGUGUAAGCCUUUCCCUCAACAACUUAUUGAAAGGCGAAAAAAGGUUUGGAAAUAAAAGGAUCUGAUGUUUGAAAAA
ensembl:lncRNA ASAH1-AS1 ASAH1 antisense RNA 1